ensembl:lncRNA
CACCUGGAGCGGGGAGAAGAGUGGGUCAACCUCACUGUCCAGGACGUCGAGUGGCCAGCAGACGGUGGGAUCUACCGCUGCGCCGCGGCCAACGCCGUGGGCACCGCCAGCCUCCCCGUCCGCCUCCGUGUGGACCGUGAGUCCCGGGAGGGGUGGGGGGUGCCGGGGCGGGGGUUACCCCCCUCCUGCUGGGCACCGUCUCGCCACAGGGUACCCGGCCCCCCCCAACGUCACCAUCAGCAAGCUGCGGUACCUGCGGGCUCGCACCGAGGUGCGGCUGGAGUGGCGGACGCAGGGCGCCGGCAACCUCACCGGCUUCGUGGUGCAGCGGCGCCAGGCCAGGAGACCCCGCCGGCGGGUGCCCGGCCCCUGGGAAACGGCCGCCGGUGACAUCGAGCCCCACUCCCGCAACCGGCGCCUGGGGGGGCUGGACCCGGCGGUGGUUUACGCUUUCCGCAUCCUGGCCGUCAACCACCGGACAGCCGGGCACCCCUCGGAGGUGCAGACGCCAGCCGAGCCCCCCUUCGAGGCCUACCCAGCAGUGACAGGGGCAGCAGUGGCAGGGAUGCUGGUGGCCACCGCCACAUCGUUCCUGGCCGUGCGCUGCAUCGCCCGCCACCGGGACACCCUCCCACGGCUGCACGACCUGCUCUUCCACACGGCCAGUCCCGGGGCCCAGGAGCCGGUGGGCGCGCCGGAGGAUGCCGAAACAGCCGCAAGCAGAGAGGAUGGAGCAGCACCGGCACCAGGAGACCCGCCAGCCCCUGGCACAGCAGCAGACCUUGCAGAGCCACUGUCAGCACCGCCGGACCCCACUGAUGACCCACCGGUUAAUGUCACCAUCACCGAGACCGCGACACCAUGACCGCUCCCCCACUGGUCCCCUUUAUAUCCCUUUCCUCCGCUUGUUCCGCGCCACGGGACAGCAGCGCCUGCCUGUGCCGCAUCCCUUCGCGUUAAUAAAGCCGGGAAUGGCGUUAAUAAAGCCAGGAAUGGCCGGAUGCGUCUUGGCUCCUGCGACACUGCUGGAGUCGUAACUCAGCAGCUGGAAAAAUAUCCGUGAUCCAGACCCAGCCCAAAAUUUCAGGGCUGGUGGCAAAGGGGUUUUACUUCUUUAUAAUAUUUUAAAAGAUGUAUGAUUUUCCCCAGG